rnacentral:rRNA from 1 species
CGGGGUGGAGUAAUGCUUGGGAAUCUGGCUUAUGGAGGGGGAUAACUACGGGAAACUGUAGCUAAUACCGCGUAGUGUCGAGAGACGAAAGUGCGGGACCGAAAGGCCGCAUGCCAUGAGAUGAGCCCAAGUGGGAUUAGGUAGUUGGUGGGGUAAAGGCCUACCAAGCCUGCGAUCUCUAGCCGGUCUGAGAGGAUGGCCAGCCACACUGGAACUGAGACACAGUCCAG